rnacentral:rRNA from 1 species
UACGAAGGGGGCUAGCGUUGCUCGGAAUCACUGGGCGUAAAGCGCGCGUAGGCGGCGUCUUAAGUCAGAGGUGAAAUCCUUGGGCUCAACCCAGGAACUGCCUUUGAGACUGGUGCGCUCGAGUCCGGAAGAGGGUAGUGGAAUUCCCAGUGUAGAGGUGAAAUUCGUAGAUAUUGGGAAGAACACCGGUGGCGAAGGCGGCUGCCUGGCCCGAUACUGACGCUGAAGUGCGAAAGCGUGGGGAGCAAACAGG